AUUGAACGCUAGCGGGAUGCUUUACACUUGCAAGUCGAACGCGUGGUGGACGGGUGAGUAAUAUAUGGGAACGUGCCCAGUAGCGGGGGCUAACUAAUCGAAAAAGUGGCUAAUACCGCAUACUAUUGGAUCGGCCGAUAUAGGAUUAGCUAGUUGUUGGGGUAAAGGCUCACCAAGGCAACGAUGCGUAGCUGGUGUGAGAGGAAGACCAGCCACACUGGGACUGAGACACGGCCCAGAGUCCUACGGGAGGCAGCAUGGGGGAAUGUUGGACAAUGGGGGAAACCCUGAUCCAGCCAUCCCGCGUGUAUGAGAAGGCCUUCGGGUUGUAAAGUACUUUUGGCAGAGAAGCGUUAUCUGCAGAAUAAGCACCGGCUAACUACGUGCCAGCAGCCGCGGUAAUUC
rnacentral:rRNA from 1 species